CACGUAGGGGGGCAAGCGUUGUCCGGAAUUAUUGGGCGUAAAGAGCUCGUAGGCGGCUCGGUAAGUCAGGUGUCAAAUCCUCAGGCUCAACCUGGGGCUCCACCUGAUACUGCUGUGGCUAGAGUCCGGUAGGGGAGCGUGGAAUUCCUGGUGUAGCGGUGAAAUGCGCAGAUAUCAGGAGGAACACCAGCGGCGAAGGCGGCGCUCUGGGCCUUACCUGACGCUGAGGAGCGAAAGCGUGGGGAGCGAACAGG
rnacentral:rRNA from 1 species